rnacentral:rRNA from 1 species
UACAGAGGUCUCAAGCGUUGUUCGGAUUCAUUGGGCGUAAAGGGUGCGUAGGCGGCGCGGUAAGUCGGGUGUGAAAUCUCGGAGCUUAACUCCGAAACUGCAUUCGAUACUGCCGUGCUUGAGGACUGGAGAGGAGACUGGAAUUUACGGUGUAGCGGUGAAAUGCGUAGAUAUCGUAAGGAAGACCAGUGGCGAAGGCGGGUCUCUGGACAGUAACUGACACUGAGGCACGAAAGCGUGGGGAGCAAACAGGG